rnacentral:rRNA from 1 species
GGCGAGUGGCGAACGGGUGAGUAAUGCAUCGGAACGUGCCCAGUCGUGGGGGAUAACGUAGCGAAAGCUACGCUAAUACCGCAUACGAUCUGCGGAUGAAAGCGGGGGACCUUCGGGCCUCGCGCGAUUGGAGCGGCCGAUGUCAGAUUAGGUAGUUGGUGGGGUAAAGGCCUACCAAGCCGACGAUCUGUAGCUGGUCUGAGAGGACGACCAGCCACACUGGGACUGAGACUCGGCCCAGACUCCUACGGGAGGCAGCAGUGGGGAAUUUUGGACAAUGGGCGCAAGCCUGAUCCAGCAAUGCCGCGUGCAGGAUGAAGGCCUUCGGGUUGUAAACUGCUUUUGUACGGAACGAAAGGGCUCUGGCUAAUACCUGGAGCUGAUGACGGUACCGUAAGAAUAAGCACCGGCUAACUACGUGCCAGCAGCCGCGGUAAUACGUAGGGUGCGAGCGUUAAUCGGAAUUACUGGGCGUAAAGCGUGCGCAGGCGGUUUUGUAAGACAGGUGUGAAAUCCCCGGGCUUAACCUGGGAACUGCACUUGUGACUGCAAGGCUAGAGUACGGCAGAGGGGGAUGGAAUUCCGCGUGUAGCAGUGAAAUGCGUAGAUAUGCGGAGGAACACCGAUGGCGAAGGCAGUCCCCUGGGCCUUUUUUUUUCGCUCAUGCACGAAAGCGUGGGGAGCAAACAGGAUUAGAUACCCUGNNNNNNNNNNNNNNNNACGAUGUCAACUGGUUGUUGGUCCUUCACU